rnacentral:lncRNA from 1 species
GCUUGCAAUAUAAGUAAAAUAGAAUAACCUACCCUCCUAACCAGAAAGAUUGAUCUCUCAAUCUUGAGUUAAUGCAGCUGCAAAAACAUGUUCUCCUAAAACUGCUCUCUAUAAUAUUAAUCAGUACAUAUAUUACACAUCCUGAAAUCAGUUCAUGUUCGAAAAAUAAACCUAAUCAACCUUAACUUGACAAAGUUUCAAGGCCAAGAUCAAAAGAUGACAAUUUAACAAAUUCUCCCCCCACCCCCCUUUUUUUUUACAUUCUUUAUUUUUGAUUUAUUAAUGCGUGACAUGUUCAGGUAUUACAGUUCAAUUUGUUUCAACAAUGGUAAUAUAGUGACAGUAUACAUAACAUCGUAUGAGUAGUGAAAACAAUGAACUAGUAGGUUAUAUUUGUCUUCAUUGCGUAAACAUGGCUUUAAAUGUUUGUUAAUAUGAGAUUAUGGUGUUAGACUCGUCUUGUUAAUUUAUAAUACAAUAAGAUACAGGUCAUUGAACAAGUAAUGAACUAAUCAACAGGAAAGUUGUUGUUUUUUGCCUGGCGUAAAUAUAACGUUAAACGAUUGUUAGUAUGCGGUUGGGGUAAUGCACUUGCCCUAGUGGUGGUGUCUGAUCAGUAUGCGCUAUUAGUUUAUCAUGACUGAGGGUUUAGCUCGGUUACGAUAGAGCCUUUACCUUCGGAAUGAUCAGUUUCCUUUCCUUUUUCUUUGGCAGUGAAUCUUUGUACACUGAAGAGUGGGGUAAAGGAGGGUGUGUGUAGGGGUUGUGGUAUAUCAAGUAGGUUGGGCAGGAUUAUUGGGGGUUUGGAGUAGCAACUUUGUGGGUAUGUCAAGUCAGUGGGGUCAAACUCCCUUUUUUACCUGAGUUUGACACAAGCUCCUAGAGGAGCCUGCUUUCCAGCCUCCUGCCCAAACUAUAGACCCGGUGAAAUAUAAUUAAGUCUCUGAUCGUGUAUUUUGAGCUAUAUUGUUCGAGAACCGAACAGCAGCACAUACUGGAGACUUUUACAUUAUAUAUCACAGGGAUCAUAAUCUGUGGGUAGUAGGCUGGCAAGCAGGCUCCUCCAGGAACUCAUGGCAAACUCAGGUAAAAAGGGGAGUGUGACGAACCGCUUGGCAUUCCGACAGAGUGCCACUACCAAUCUAUGCUCCUAGUGCUCACCGAGGAAUUCCAGCACUCCACCAGACACCAUAAGCACUGCAGACCCCUCUACCAGCGAUGCAGCUGCGCCUGGGUCUCACCAUCUGUAACGGCUCACCUGGCACCCAGACUGGGUACAUCUGUUAAAGGAUGCUCCUAGCGCUUACAGAGGGCUCCAAGCGCUCCGCCAGACACCACAACCACCGUAGACCCCACAAACUGCCGCAGCUUGGUUGGGGUCUCGCCGUCUCCUACCCACCCUGGACCUACGACAAGGCUCCAGGUUUCAGUGGGUGAACCUCUCCUCCAAGAGAGUGAAGCAGGAACAAGCUCUUAAAAGAGCUUCGUAGUGAUUAGCUAAGGGAGUAUGAAGAGCAUAGCAAUUCCCCUAAUAAGAGACAGGACUCUAGAUUGAGGGUGAAGUAGAACUGACUGUACUGGCACAUACAGCCUUUUUUAUUCACAUUCUACAAACUGCCCACAGGGUUUUGAAGAACAACCAAUCAACACAUUACAACACAGCUAACACUCCCAUUCAUUACAUCAGAAAUCCUACCUUCUGCCUGUGAUACAAUUAUCUCCACACAAUAGACUAACUUAAUUAUCACAGACAGGAAAAUACAGUAUUAUAAAUCAUAUCACAGGGACCCCAAAACAUGCAAUACCCCCAUAAAUUAUAUCCUCGGAACCGAGGGAUCUAGGUGAACCACAUAUCCAAAAUUCACCCAGAUCCGUUCAGUAGUUUGGAAGAUACAGUUUAAUGCAGAUUCCGCAGAACAUAUACAGGGUAUAUGAAAAAUAAUUACUGUUAAAUGUGUCCCCUGAUCUGUAGUUUAAAACUACUGAACGAUGUCUUUGUGCACCAAAUACCGGCGAGAUGGCACAGUGUAGAAAAUUCAAAACAGUGUCUGUGAGUAAAAAUGGCCGUCUCCAUUGUUUUCACCAUGUGCCUCUGAUACAUGAAAUGGUGGCCACCCAGUAACUCCACAGUAUGUCCCCAGAUUAUAUAAAAAAUAAUUACUAUAUACUGUGUCCCCUGUUGUAUAGUUUAAAACUACUGCACGAUGUCUCUGUGCACCAAAUACCGGCAAGAUGGCACCGUGUAGAAAAGUCCACACAGUGUCUGUGAGUUAAAAUAGCCGUCAUCCAUUGUUCUCACCAUGUGCUUCAUCCAUUGUUCUCACCAUGUGCCUCUGAUACAUGAAAUGGUGGCCACCCAGUAACUCCACAGUAUGUCCCCAGAUGGUUCUUAAAGGGCCAGCAGUAGCACAACACAAAUCCAUUAUGCCCAAAUCAUGUAUUUAAAGGAUCAAAUCGCCCAGGGGCCAUAGUCAGCAGGCAGGCAAACAGGCUUCUCCAAUGCCCAGUGGUGAGGUUGGUUCCGCCACAGGGUGCGACUGCUCGCAGCCCCUCCCCCCGUCUGUUCCUAACAGGUUGGAGGUCUGUUUGAAGGGCUUUCCUCCCCUCUGUCAAUCAAGGCCGGAUUCCGAUCACAGCCGGAGUUUUUUAUAUCAGACGAGGGCCCUUCACCCUGCUCAGGGUUCAUCUAUAACCCAAGAUGACUCCACAUUUAUAUAAUUUUAUAUAAAUAUUUUUUGCUGGGCUGGAGAAUAGGCUUUAGGCAGUACACCCUGUACUGCUCUGAGAUGCCUGCAGUUUGGUUUUCUGCCUUUGGCCAAACAUUAAAGUCUGCCAGUUCCCUGUAUAGUGGUAAAGCACUUCAUCACUAGUAUCUGUAACAUCUGUGAUAUUAGACUGGAGACAUUAUAGCUACUUAAUCCAGAGGUAUUAUAAAAAUACUGUUAUAAUCACAUUACUACCCUGCUAGUGGGUUUUACAUAUUGAAAUUAUUUAACCCAAGGUUACCUGUUUCAUUACGCAUAUAUAUAUAUUAUAUUAUAACUAUUCUGUGCCCAUUCGUUUGGCCUGCUGGGCCUGUGCCCGUCUGAUGCUCUAUUGGUGCCGAACCCCUUUUGGCCGCAGGCCUGGGGGAAUAUCACUGAGGAAAACCCAAUACCCACUAGUGACAUGGAGAUAGGCAGGUGUCCAGGCAAGCAGUGUUGCCAUACUAUCCAAAAGGACGCCAGUAUACGGCCACCUGAGUAUGUUGGGAAGGGUGAAAGGCCCUAAACCUCACGCCUGAAGGGCAAGGUUUCUUAUGAAGACCCCGGGCACACAUGCAUGGUUUACACCAGCCCGGCAACAGCACAUCUCCAAGAAGAACUUUGCACAGGCAGGGACCGGUACUCAGACGCCUACAGGGGGACACGGCGUUUCCAUGCCCUUAACAACUAACCCUCUAACUGCCACCCGAUAUCCAUCUAGAUAUCGGUAGUUAUUCCUGUGUAAGGUUAGCUCCUGGCCAUGUUCAGUGGGGCUUACUUGACUUGCCUUCCGGCCUGCUAUUUGCCUUCUAUCCGAGUUCGAAUUUACGUAUUUACCCUUAUUUACAUUUAUUAUUGUUUUUGUUUUCGUGCCUUUCUUUUCCUAUCGCUCAGGUCGUUGAGAGGCCUGACUUGACUUCCUCCGACCUCCCGUGCGUUCAUGGAUUGCGGAGAAUGUCUCCAGCUUUUCUCAGGCUACCGACAGUCAUCCUGGACCCCGCGCAUGUGCACGGGAUCCGGGCGGUCAUUUGGUAGUUUCCAUCAUUGUUUCCGAAGGUUGCAUUUUCGCACACCAUCCCUUUCUGUUAUUAAGAAUGAACACGGCCCAAGAUUGUAUACUAUCCCAUCUGCCAUCGGUCUGGUUUACUACCAGUUGAUUCCUUUUCAGGUGAGCAAUUCAGAGAGAGGUCUCGUGGUCGAGGAGAGACCCACCUAAGGACCUCAGUCUUAUGCUGAUAUUAGUAAUUGGUGUACCACUGCAGUUGGUCACCCUGAGUAUAGUUUGGAUCACAAGAGGGUGCGGCCCUCCAUCACCUCGAUCCGAGAAUGAUAUUCUAUUUUCAGGAACAGAGAGCGAACCCCUCUCAUAUACAGAACCGGACACUGAUUUGUUAUUAGAGGGCGCGGCCCUCCCUCAACCUCAGCCCGAUACUGAGCGGGAUACAGAGGACAUGUUUGGAGUGACACAUUCUCAUAGAGAGAACCGGUCACGGAUGUAGACUCUACUGUUUGGUUAUUAAUGGGUGCGGCCCGCUCAGGCUAUCAGCCGGACGCUGACACGGAAUUCGGUCACAUUAUUAGAGAGCGCGGCUCUCUCAUACACUCUACGCUCUACAGUGCCGUCCAUUUGUUCAUCACACAGGCUUGUACCUGUACAAGACCUCGAUGACUGCAUAGAGGGGCAUCCCUCCUGCAUUCAAUUAGAUCUAACAACCGUGCUACUGUUUUGUUAUAGAGGGCUGCCUGAUCAUGCAGGAUAUACAUAUUUAGACUGGAUCCCUCUAUAUUAUCUCCUGUAAUGGAUCUACUGGAUCUGGACCACUGUACCACAAGCGAGAAAUACUCACAGAGGUAUAACAGGGGGAGACUCCCACUUAUUUACACACUCCUGGAGACGGUACGGCUAACGGGUGAGCCUCAGGUAUUACAAGAGUGCAGGUUUUGGUAUAUUCUGCGCUAUAUAAAACAGAGAAUUGCAUUCUGUUUUGGAUAUCCGGAACAUUGCGAACAAACUGUGCAGACAGUUUUCCCAUAUCAAGAUGACAUGAGAUACGGAGACCUUCAUGGAGCAAACGGGCAAGAGAUGAGACAUGGUGGCAGUGUCUUAUCGCGGCCCUAAGUCCGCAGAUGACCUUCGACAUUUUAUAACUACAUGGAAAUUGCUAAUAGGUCAGCUUGGCAGCUCAUAGACUGGCUGGUAGGAAACAGGUCGCAACCCCACGUACAAUGGAUCAGCGGAUGGUCUUUUUUUCCAUAUUUGGGAUGCUUCGUCAACUGGCAUCUUCACCGAUCGGUCUAUUGUCAUUUAUCGCAGUUGGAAAGUCCAUUUAGGAUUGCUCGGAUAGCUCCCGAAAUAGGUACCAGCGAAACAAACAGCGUUGGAUUUGUGGACGGAGCGUUAAAACAGCAAAUACGAAACCUCCUGUCAAGUUAUAAAAUUGUAGAUUAUGCUAGCUUUAGUGUACCUAUAAUCUUAAUUUUAUUAAUGACAGGAGGCGAGUAUUUCCCACCCAUUCUUCCCACUCCCUCUCUUGUUUAAUUUUAAUAGUUUGGAUUAAUCAGGUACGUAUGCAUCUCUGCUGGUUGUCUCUGCUACCUGUCGUCUGUUCUUAUGUCUGUUUUUUCAUAAGUAGGGUUGGGAUAUCUACAUAUUCAGGUACUAUUGGUUGCUACAUUGGGUACCUACAUGUUUCUUCAGAGUACAUUUCAUUGGAUAAUCAACCUGUUCGAUUCUGGUUUUCUCUCGUUUCAGUUUACAGUCCAUCAACGCUAUCUGGUUUGGCAGUUCUUUUCGGAUGGUGGACAUCGUUGUAUUCAUCGUAUCUAGGACUUUGUUUCUUCCCCAUUAUGUUUUCUGCCUUUUAUUCUGUUUUUGUUGCAGCUUGAAAGAGGAAAUGAUGCAUGGGGAGGGGAGUUUUAUGGUACCUAACUUUUUUCUGAUUGGUUAUUUUUCUGUGCUGCUGUGGAGUUCUAGUAAAGAGAGACUUAAGCAAAUACUUGCUGUGGCGAAACCAGCCUCGCCACGUGUCCUUGGAGGGGGCUGCUUGCCCGCCUCUUGCCUUUGGACUAUGGACCAGACUUUAUGUGAAGUUAUUAACCCAGAUAGCUAUGCCAUGGAGCCCAUUCGUGUAGUUAAAGACUUCGGC